rnacentral:rRNA from 1 species
GGGUCAGUAGGUUGGUCGUGCCACCGGUACGUACUGGUCUCACUGAUUCCUCCUCCCUGAAGAACCGUAAUGCCAUUAAUUUGGUGUUGCGGGGAAACAGGACUGUUACUUUGAAAAAAUUAGAGUGUUUAAAGCAAGCUAACGCUUGAAUACAUUAGCAUGGAAUAAUGAAAUAGGACGAUCGAUCCUAUUUUGUUGGUUUCUAGGAUUGACGUA